CCUACGGGUGGCAGCAGUGAGGAAUAUUGGUCAAUGGACGGAAGUCUGAACCAGCCAUGCCGCGUGCAGGAAGAAGGCUCUAUGAGUUGUAAACUGCUUUUGUACACGAAUAAACCUGGAUACGUGUAUUCGGCUGAAAGUACUUUACGAAUAAGCAUCGGCUAACUCCGUGCCAGCAGCCGCGGUAAUACGGAGGAUCCAAGCGUUAUCCGGAUUUAUUGGGUUUAAAGGGUGCGUAGGCGGAGUGGUAAGUUAGAGGUGAAAGGCCCGAGCUUAACUCGGGAACCGCCUCUAAUACUGGUGAUCGAGAGAGGGGGUGCGGUAGGCGGAAGGUAUGGUGUAGCGGUGAAAUGCUUAGAGAUCAUACAGAACACCGAUUGCGAAGGCAGCUUACCAAUCUAUAUCUGACGUUGAGGCACGAAAGCGUGGGGAGCAAACAGGAUUAGAUACCCGAGUAGUC
rnacentral:rRNA from 1 species